rnacentral:rRNA from 1 species
UACAGAGGUCCCAAGCGUUGUUCGGAUUCACUGGGCGUAAAGGGUGCGUAGGUGGCCAGGUAAGUCUGAUGUGAAAUCUCGGAGCUUAACUCCGAAACUGCAUUGGAUACUAUCUGGCUAGAGGGUCGGAGGGGAGACUGGAAUUCUCGGUGUAGCAGUGAAAUGCGUAGAUAUCGGGAAGAACACCCGUGGCGAAGGCGGCUCUCUGGGACGGUACUGACGCUGAGACGCGAAAGCGUGGGGAGCGAACAGG